rnacentral:rRNA from 1 species
UACGGAGGAUGCGAGCGUUAUCCGGAUUUAUUGGGUUUAAAGGGUGCGUAGGCGGACUGUCAAGUCAGCGGUAAAAUUGAGAGGCUCAACCUCUUCCCGCCGUUGAAACUGGUGGUCUUGAGUGGAUGAGAAGUACGCGGAAUGCGUGGUGUAGCGGUGAAAUGCAUAGAUAUCACGCAGAACUCCGAUUGCGAAGGCAGCGCACCGGCGCCCUACUGACGCUCAGGCACGAAAGCGUGGGUAUCGAACAGG